UGACAUUUUUUUUCCUACGUGUGCCCUAACGAUGAAUUACUGAACGGUUUCCGAAGUGUCUAUGAUAUCUAUAAUCGAGACAGACGUUGGGAAGUCCAGUGUUGUCCAAUGAUUAAUCGUCGCCGUGAACAGUGUCAUUUCACCGAGUACCUCAACCUGUAUGGCAGUUCGUUUGAAUAUACUGUACCCCAAGGUGAAUUUGUACGGGGAAUCCGCAGUACCUAUGCUGAGUUGGUAAAUGACCGUAGAUAUGCAUAUGAAGUUUGUGCAUUCUCGUAAGAGCACCAUUGCGACAGCACGGAUUGUAGUCAACGGUUUGCCAAUGUAUGGAAACAGACAACUAGGACUCGUUAAAUGUAGCCAACCCAGCGUUAAAUGUCCAUCCUUUUAUUCAUAAUAAACCCUUCAGCAGAUUGU